rnacentral:rRNA from 1 species
CAGUCGCCGCGGGAAUACGUAGGGUGCAAGCGUUAAUCGGAAUUACUGGGCGUAAAGCGUGCGCAGGCGGUUAUAUAAGACAGAUGUGAAAUCCCCGGGCUCAACCUGGGAACUGCAUUUGUGACUGUAUAGCUAGAGUACGGCAGAGGGGGAUGGAAUUCCGCGUGUAGCAGUGAAAUGCGUAGAUAUGCGGAGGAACACCGAUGGCGAAGGCAAUCCCCUGGGCCUGUACUGACGCUCAUGCACGAAAGCGUGGGGAGCAAACAGGAUUAGAUACCCGGGUAGUCCCUGUCUCUUAUAU